rnacentral:rRNA from 1 species
GUCCAGACUCCUACGGGAGGCAGCAGUGGGGAAUAUUGGGCAAUGGGCGCAAGCCUGACCCAGCAACGCCGCGUGAAGGAAGAAGGCUUUCGGGUUGUAAACUUCUUUUAUGAGGGACGAAAGAAAUGACGGUACCUCAUGAAUAAGCCACGGCUAACUACGUGCCAGCAGCCGCGGUAAUACGUAGGGGGCAAGCGUUAUCCGGAUUUACUGGGUGUAAAGGGAGCGUAGACGGCAGCGCAAGUCUGAAGUGAAAUGCCGGGGCUUAACCCCGGAACUGCUUUGGAAACUGAGCAGCUAGAGUGCAGGAGAGGUAAGUGGAAUUCCUAGUGUAGCGGUGAAAUGCGUAGAUAUUAGGAGGAACACCAGUGGCGAAGGCGGUCUGCUGGACAGCAACUGACGCUGAGGCGCGAAAGCGUGGGGAGCAAACAGGAUUAGAUACCCGGGUAA